CAGCAGCCGCGGGAAUACAUAGGUGGCAAGCGUUGUCCGGAAUUAUUGGGCGUAAAGCGCGCGCAGGCGGAUCAGUCAGUCUGUCUUAAAAGUUCGGGGCUUAACCCCGUGAGGGGAUGGAAACUGCUGAUCUAGAGUAUCGGAGAGGAAAGUGGAAUUCCUAGUGUAGCGGUGAAAUGCGUAGAUAUUAGGAAGAACACCAGUGGCGAAGGCGACUUUCUGGACGAAAACUGACGCUGAGGCGCGAAAGCCAGGGGAGCGAACGGGAUUAGAUACCCCUGUAGUCCCUGUCUCUUAUACA
rnacentral:rRNA from 1 species